rnacentral:sRNA from 1 species
ACUCGUACACUCCGGUUCCUGUGCGCCGUCCGCACCCACCUGAAAACUGCUCGCUACGUCUUGUUAGCC